rnacentral:rRNA from 1 species
AGCGUCUGGAAAGGCGCGCGAUACAGGGUGACAGCCCCGUACACAAAAGCGCAUGUGCUGUGAGCUCGAUGAGUAGGGCGGGACACGUGGUAUCCUGUCUGAAUAUGGGGGGACCAUCCUCCAAGGCUAAAUACUCCUGACUGACCGAUAGUGAACCAGUACCGUGAGGGAAAGGCGAAAAGAACCCCGGCGAGGGGAGUGAAAAAGAACCUGAAACCGUGUACGUACAAGCAGUGGGAGCCCCACCACCAAAGCAUUCUCUGGUGUUGAAGGCCCUGCAAAGCAGCAUCGCGGUGGCGGAGCGUCGUUUGCGACGCCCAACACACAAAACAAGCGGUGAGUGCUUUGGGGUGGGGUGACUGCGUACCUUUUGUAUAAUGGGUCAGCGACUUAUAUUCUGUAGCAAGGUUAACCGAAUAGGGGAGCCGGAGGGAAACCGAGUCUUAAUUGGGCGUUAAGUUGCAGGGUAUAGACCCGAAACCCGGUGAUCUAGCCAUGGGCAGGUUGAAGGUUGGGUAACACUAACUGGAGGACCGAACCGACUAAUGUUGAAAAAUUAGCGGAUGACCUGUGGCUGGGGGUGAAAGGCCAAUCAAACCGGGAG